rnacentral:ncRNA from 2 species
GGCAGCAGCGCGGGAGAGCCUGUCCGCAACGGCAGGCACCGAAGGAGCAACCGCCCCGGAAACUCUCAGGUCACCGGACCGCGCGACUGGA